GUGUGUGAUCAUACCAGCACUAAUGCACCGGAUCCCAUCAGAACUCCGUAUUUAAGCGUGCUUGGGCAAAAGUAAUACUAAGAUGGGUGACCUUCCGGAAAGUCCUCGUGUUGCACCCC
rnacentral:rRNA from 1 species